rnacentral:rRNA from 1 species
CUCGAUAAUCCACGUAUAUGCAACCUUCUCUUGACUCCCAGCAUGUGUACUGCCGUUGUAAGCAUACCUCUAAAAGAACAAGUAUGCCGCUAUGAUUUACCCAACUCAUUUACAUCAGGUCAAAGUGCAGCCUAUAAGAAGGUGAUGAUGGGUUACAACCCCAAAAUAGACUAUCGACUAAGAAAUAAAAAAUCUUACGAAAGUGGACUUGGCCGUAAUCAAUUUACAAGUUAAAAAAAUGAAUAAAUACCUAAGACAUGCACACAUCGCCCGUCACUCUAUCCUAAAGGUUAGAUAAGUCGUAACAAAGUAGGUGUAAUGGAAAUUGCACCUGUCGGGGUAUAGCAUAUAUAAUGCUUUUUACUUACACUAAAAAUAAAGUUAAACUACUUGCUCCGCCCACAUAAAAUAACCUUAAAAUUGAUAUAUAAUACAAACAAUUAAAUAAUAAAUAAAAUACAAAAGUACAGAAAUGGAAACAACAAUAAAUAAUAGUAACUUUUAACAAAUGUACCUCGUGCAUUAUGGUUUUACAAGAAAUUAAUUAAAUAGACAAAUCCCGAAUUCUAAGUGAGAUGUUAAACUGCUGUUGAGAACCUAUUAAUAGCUGUGGAAAAAGCUUUAAAAGACAGUUUAACAGAGGCUACAUACCAUCCGCAUAAGAAUAUAGCUGGUUUUCAACAAACAUUAUACAUUAAAACAUAUAAUUAAAAUUAUAGUGUAAAACUAUUGAGGAUAAGCCCAAUAAUACAAACAAUAUCACCCAAAAUCUAUCCCUUCCCAUAGGCUUAAUAUCAGCCAACCAAACCACUUUACCGUAACAAGAACUGAAAUAAUUUAUAAUAUUUUAUGUUAAAAAAAGUUGAAAGGGUUGGCAACCUAUCUAACCAACCUCUACUAUGUAAAAAUAAGUAUUAAUAAAUAUAAAUAUCAAAUAACCAGAAAUAACAACAGGCUAUAAACAAUAGCUAACUAAGGAACUCGGCAAACCCCUAUUUCGACUGUUUAACAAAAACAUUGUCUCAUGUACCACAUAUGAGAUAAUAC